rnacentral:rRNA from 1 species
AGUCGUAACAAGGUUUCCGUAGGUGAACCUGCGGAAGGAUCAUUACCGAGUGAGGGCCCUCUGGGUCCAACCUCCCACCCGUGUCUAUCGUACCUUGUUGCUUCGGCGGGCCCGCCGUUUCGACGGCCGCCGGGGAGGCCCUGCGCCCCCGGGCCCGCGCCCGCCGAAGACCCCAACAUGAACGCUGUUCUGAAAGUAUGCAGUCUGAGUUGAUUAUCGUAAUCAGUUAAAACUUUCAACAACGGAUCUCUUGGUUCCGGCAUCGAUGAAGAACGCAGCGAAAUGCGAUAAGUAAUGUGAAUUGCAGAAUUCAGUGAAUCAUCGAGUCUUUGAACGCACAUUGCGCCCCCUGGUAUUCCGGGGGGCAUGCCUGUCCGAGCGUCAUUGCUGCCCUCAAGCACGGCUUGUGUGUUGGGCCCCCGUCCCCCUCUCCCGGGGGACGGGCCCGAAAGGCAGCGGCGGCACCGCGUCCGGUCCUCGAGCGUAUGGGGCUUUGUCACCUGCUCUGUAGGCCCGGCCGGCGCCAGCCGACACCCAACUUUAUUUUUCUAAGGUUGACCUCGGAUCAGGUAGGGAUACCCGCUGAACUUAAGCAUAUC